ACUUUGGGUAAAGCUGAUGGUUGGUACAUUAGCAGCUGUAGCUCUCACUAUUGACGGGCCUGGAACAAAGCUCAUGCAGCAGCCACCAACCAACCAAAACGAACCAUUCAUAACCAAUAUUAUGUGGAGAAACAUAUUGGGACAAGCAUCGUACCUGAUCUCAGUGUUGCUUACCAUCCAAUUCACAGGUGAAUCAGGAUACCAAUUAAGCGACAAGGAAAAGGACACGAUGAUCUUCAACAUCUUUGUUCUCUGCCAACUAUGCAACAUAUUCUACCUGAGGAAGUACGAAGGGGGUCUCCUCAGAGAGCUAAAAACAAAGAGGUUAUUUUGGGGGAUUGUAGGAAUGAUAGUCGUUAUCCAGUUUGCAAUGAUCGAAAUGCUGAAAAGGUUUGCAUGUACUGAGAGAUUGAAUUGGCAGCAGUGGAAAGUGUGUAUUGGGAUAGCUGCUUUAUCAUUUCCAGUUAGUUUGCUCAUAAAAUGCAUACCUCUUCCAAAAACGCCUUUGUUCAGUCGUUGGAACAGGCAAAACUUUAGUUACUCCAGAUUUAGAUCAAG
rnacentral:misc_RNA from 1 species